rnacentral:lncRNA from 1 species
GCUCAUUUCUUUCUUCUUUUCUCUAUACGUUGGUGUUCUAACCAAUAAUCAUUCAAUCGCUAUUACGAUUCAUUUUCCGACCAAUCAAUAUAUCCAAUGGAUGUUUAAGUGCCGCCCACAUUAGGGUUAUACUUUGUCGUUCGUCAUUAAUUCGAUGAAUGUUUAAGUAUCGCGCUUUGUCGUUCGUUGUGAGAAUUUGAUCUCGUGAGUUAUCGUAAAAGCUGUAUUGAUCAUUAACCCGGUUUUUGUGAAAUUCGUUAAGGUUCGAAUCUCAUGACUACCGUUAAGGUUUGAUUUGGGUUUUACACCAAUACGUAUUCCAUUCUGUUAAACUAUAUAUUUAACUACCAAGAAUACUCCCAACUACACCCUUACAAUCAAACAAACUAUUAAAUCAUCAGAAGAUCCAGAAUAAUAAAGUGCAUGCUUAAUUAUCGGAAGAAGUAGAAUCAAGAAGUUUGUUAACUCAAUCCUGCAUGCUGAGUUCCAGUAUGUGGGGUAUUGUGCACAUUACUACGGUUUAAAUCAUUUUAGGUGGGCGAACCUAAUUUUAAUUGAUUUACGUCAUUCAUUGGGGCAGCCAAUGGUGAUAUGACCACUGUCACAGAUCCGGUCGAGUGACAAAUACUGUGGGUAGUUGGUUGAUAUCAGAAACAUGUGUAAAAGAUCUUAACACUGUGAAUUAUAACAAAUGUGUCGUUUUCAGUAAAAUGAAUGAUUCACUCAGUAUUUCCCGCUGACAAAACCCUUUUAAAACGCGUUUCAGGUAAUUACAGUAGAUUGGAGUAAGGAUUGGAUCCGGCACUAAAAGACUUCAAGAAGUGGCUUAUUUUAUUAAAUCAAAUUAAGAAAUAUUAUUUUUAUUAAAAGCUACCUUUGUAAAACAUGGAAUUUAUUCCAUCUAUUUAAAUAAAAUCCGGUGUUUCUAAACUCUGAUGUUUUCCUAACUCACGGUCUUGAUGAAAUUUCCGCUGCAAUGUGUUUUCAAAAUAAUCACCGGUACCACUGGACUGCUCACGGCACCCGAUUCCGGCUAGGAUGGGGUCGGGGGGCGUGACACCCCGUGGCGAUAUAAUGGGUGACAUGUCGGGGUGGCGCGAUGCCACACCCUAUGGCCUUAGACCAUGUGUAGUGGUAAGGGAAGACAAUGCCCCUACGUUUAGGCGUUUUGUGUAAUGUGGUGAUACAGUCAGCAUGUGGGUAUUAUGGGGCAUUAUAUUAAAAGAGGUGUAGUAGGGCUUGAAACCUUGUGGGGCGUUAUAA